rnacentral:miRNA from 2 species
CGUCCUUCUCCAAUGUAUGCUAU